rnacentral:rRNA from 1 species
AGUGAACGCUGGCGGCAUGUCUAACACAUGCAAGUCGAACGGCAGCACAGUAAGCGCUUGCUCUUACGGGUGGCGAGUGGCGGACGGGUGAGGAAUACAUCGGAAUCUACUUUUUCGUGGGGGAUAACGUAGGGACACUUACGCUAAUACCGCAUACGACCUACGGGUGAAAGCAGGGGAUCUUCGCACCUUGCGCGACUGUUUGAGCCGAUGUCGGAUUAGCUAGUUGGUGUGGUAAAGGCACACCAAGGCGACGAUGCGUAGCGGGCCUGAGAGGAUGAUCGGCCACACUGGAACUGAGACACGGUCCAGACUCCUACGGGAGGCAGCAGUGGGGAAUAUUGGACAAUGGGCGAAAGCCUGACCCAGCCAUGCCGCGUGAGUGAUGAAGGCCUUCGGAUUGUAAAGCCCUUUUGUUGGGAAAGAAAAAAAGCGGGUUAAUACAUCGCUGUUCUGACGGUACCCAAAGAAUAAGCACCGGCUAACUACGUG